AUAUGCACUGGCUUACUCUGUGUUAAAUUCUGCUGGAGCUAUUUCCACAGUGUCUCUCUCCCCAUCUACACACUACAAAAAAAGAAAGGCACGUCUGCAUCAAUCUGCUGUCACUUGUAAACAGCACGGGCACCAUGAUACUAUGAUAGAAGUGUUGUUGGAGGAGGGGAUGAUGAGGAAGAUUAAGAUGUCCAUCUGUUGCCGACCAGUCAGCUUGGAUCAGCGUGCAGAGCGACUGAUUUGUGGUAACAUCUGAUUGCAGCGUCCAGGUGAAUUGGAACCCCUCCACAGCUGCUGGGUCCAGUGCAUGA